CCUAGUGAGUUCCAGGACUGUCAGAGAUAUACAAUAGAGAGACCCUGUCUAAAAUAAAAUAAAAUAAAACCCAGCUUAGGUUUUUAUCCUAGAAGCUUAAUAUAUCAACUGGCUCAGAAAUCUUGAUCCCAAAAUCUUUUUUUUUUUUUUUUUUUUUUUUGGCUUUUUGAGACAGGAUUUCUCAGUGACUUGGCUGUCCUAGAACUCACUCUGUAGACCAGUCUAGCCUCUAAUUCAUAGAGAUCCACCUGCCUCUGCCUCCCAAGGUGGGACUAAAAACAUGAGUCACUACCACCUGGCUGAUCCCAAAUUCUUACCCAGUUGAGUUGGGAACCUCUGUCUCUCCAAUGAAAGUAGGUGAGUGCUGUGACACCUAUAUACAUCAUUACCCCAAAGCUGAAAACAGACAAAGAAAAGCAAAAAGUGUGUUACUUCCAGGCAAUGGAAUUAUCUUUCAGCAAUAUAAAGAAAUGGGCUGUCGUGCCAUGGAGUAGCAUGGGAGAGCCCUAAUGUGUGUUGGUGAGUGAAAGAAACCUUACAUUCAGAGGAGUUAAAGCUGAAAACACUGAGAACGUCCGUGACUGUGGGGCUUGGCUGAGCAUGGGAGGGUGAUGGGACACAGCAGUGUUAGGGCAGCUAAAGUCUUCUGUGGGAUAAUGCCAUUACGCUCUUGUCAGGAGCUGUAGUGUGAGGAAGGUAGGUAUUCAUGAGUUUGUAAUGUGCCCUUGACUGUAGCAAAUGUAUUCUCACAAUGCAGAAUAAUAACUGGGAAAAUGCAAGAGUUGUCGUGGAGGGAAAGGUAGAACAUAUGGGAGCCCUGUGCUUUUGGUCAGGUUUUCUGGAAUGGGCUGGAGAGAUGGCUCAGUUAUUAAGACCACUGUCUGCCCUCCCAGAGGAUCCCACAUACCAGCAAUGGUAGCUCUCAACUGUAACUACAGCUCUAGGGGUUCUGAUGACGUGGUUUGGCCUUUUUGAGUACCAGUCACCCUUUUAUUGCACAGACAUAUAUACAGGCAAAACUCUCUCUCUCUCUCUCUCUCUCUCUCUCUCUCUCUCUCUCACACACACACUCACACACACUCACACACUCACAAAAUAAAAAUGAAAUGGGUUAAAAUAAAAACAAAUCUUUAACAUUUUUCAAAGUCUCCAAUGCUCUAAAAUAUAUACAUUGAUAUCAAAGGGAGGAUUUUGUGUUCAUGUGUGUUUUGUUUUCAAAAGAAUUGGAAAUAAACUAAACAUCGAAGUUUUUAUUGCAGUUGGAUUGGAAAUUAGAUGUAGCUCUACUUAUAUAAAUAUGUACAUAUAUACAUAUACACACAUAUGUAUAAAUAAGAUGGAGGAGGAGGCAGAAGGAACAAUGCUGAGAUGCCUUUUAUUGCUGAUUAUUAUUUAGAGAAGAGAUGAAAGAUAAUGGUAUUUUUUAUACAUAGUUGGAAAUCAACAUCUGCAGUAGAAUGUUGACUAUACUCUGUCUCCUGGUACCUGUUGGAACGGUGUGUGGUUUCCCAUGGAUUGUGGAAGAUCAAUAGUGUUUCUACAGCUGCCAUGGGGUUCUGUGCAGUUCAGUUUGCUAGCUGCCAGCCCUGACAACUUGUGCGUUUUAAUCAGUCCUUGUUCUGCAUCUUGAGACCUGCCUUUUAGACGUGUUUGGAAUGAGAGCCAACCACUCCAAGAGUUAAAAGAAGUGCAUGGUCUCUUUUAGUUAAAAAAAAAAAAAGUUUCAAGUGAAUUUCUAGUGUGAAUUAAGGAGACUUACUUAGCCUGCCUUUUUAAUCAUUAAAGUGGCCUCUUAGAACUCCUGAUUUAAUGAAAAGAUAAAAAUGUUUUGUAAUUAGCAGAUCAAAGCACUGCUGGGGCUGGUGUUUACAUUGUCAGUAUGUAAAUGAAACUUCUAAAGGGACUGAAAAGAAUUUGUUUAAUACCUCUUUAAUUUUGUUUAUGUAAUUUCUUUGCUUAAAAAUCUCUCCCCUCCUGCUCUUUGAAUUGACAAUUCUAAGGUAAACUUUGACUUACCACUCUCCCUUGUAUCAGGGAGCUUUGCAGUAUUAAUUGUGGAGGUUUACCAUACUUAAGUCAGAUUUUCCCCUAUCUUUAAAAAAAAAUAGCAUGAUCUUGAAAGGUUGGCUCGACAACUCUAAAACAUAAACGGAUCUAUUGAUUAAUACAGAAGAAUUGGGUGUAUUCAUUGUAAUCUUGCAGUAGGACUUGGGAAUAUUCUGUAUAAAUUAACAAGGGCAGUAUGGCUUAGCUUGCUUAGCCUCUUUGGAAUUACAGUGACAAGAAUCCGUGUUUGUGAAGGAUUGGUUCUAUAAUCUCCACCCCAAAUUCUGAGGAUGCUUACCUUGUCUGUUUAAAGUGAUGUCAAAUUUUCACAUGAUGAUGUCUUAGUUACUUCUGUACUACCUUGACCAAACAUCAUGCCCAAGGCAGCUUAUAAAAGAAAGCAUGGUAUUUGGGGCUUAUGAUUCCAUAAAGUUAGAGUAUAUGACCAUUAUGAUUGGGAGCUGGUGCAAUAGAGUAGCUGAGAGCUUCCAUCCAAUCCACAACAGGAGGCAGAUAGCUAAUGUGGAAUGGUAAGUGCUUUUAAAACCUGGAAAUCUACCCCAGUGACACACUUCCUCCAACAAAGCCAUACCUCCUAAUCUUUCGCAAACAGUUCCAUCAAUUGGGACCCAAGCAUUCAAAUAUGGGGUCUGUGGGGGCAUUCUCAUUCAAAUCACCACAUACAAAAUAAAUGCUAUAUAAAUAAUUAUUAAAUUGUAUUGUUCAAGGAAUAAUAAUAACAGAAGUCUAUGUGUUAAGGGCACUACUUCAUUACAUUUUCUCUAUUUUUUUAAAGCAAGUACUUACUAAUUAUUAUAUAUGUUUACAUGCAUGAUUGCUUGUUUGCACAUGCCAGUUAUUAUGUUCGUUUGAAUGUGUGUAAGUCAAGAGAGCAGCUCUUGGGAGUCAGUUGUCUCUUGCUACCUUAUAAAACCUGGAGACCAGACUCAGGUUGUUAGGCCUGCACAUGAGCUGCUCUACUCACCAGCUAAAGUUUUACCUACUAUACUUUACUUAGUGUGUGUGUCUAAAAUUAUGCACAUGGAUGUACACAUGCAUACAUGUGCAAGCCAUUACCUGUUUGAAGUCAUUCAAGGAAUCACCAUUACAUAUGUGGUGGGCAGGGUCAAAUAGUUCAAAGCAAAUUCAUUAGAGAAAUUGUUCAGGACAGUUAGUGCAUCGUGGAUGGGAGAGGGGCUCAUGAAACCUCCGUACUUCCUGAGGAGCUGGGGUGAAGGUGUGCUGCGAGUGUAGGUUAAUAAUUUUCCUUGAUGGCACAGCCACUGAUAAUUUGCCUAUGCUCCAGUCAAUAAUCCACAGCCUGUGCUUGACCCGGGGACCUAAUUAAACUCAGUCACAGAAGAGGUGAGCAGCCACAGGAAGGAGACACAGAGAGGGAACCUGCUGGCAAGAUGGCGGGGGAUAAGAAAAGGCAGUGGGGUAGAAAGACAAACACCAUAUAUAUAUGUGUAUAUAUAUAUACACACACACACACACAUACAUACAUAUAUACAUAUAUACAUAUAUAUAUAUAUACACACACACACACACACACACACACACACAUACACACACACGUGUGUGUGUGUGUGUGUGUGUGGCGUUGUUGGAGAAGGAAAAGAAGCCGCUCAAAAGUGUCUUGAGAACUUGUUUUCUUGAGUCUCAGAUCAUCAGUGGUGACUCCCACGUGGGACUGCAUGAGAGGGGAAGGGGGAAUUGGAGGGGUUCCAUUGAAGAGUAGCUUCCAAAAAGAUUUGUUCUGAGGUGCACACUGAACGUAAUAGAAAGUUAAGUUAAUUAGCAGCCAAGGGUUAAAUGUAACUCGUGACUGUCUACUUAGAGCAGUGUAUCUGGAAGUGGAAAGGAGGGAUUUUAUUCUUAACUUUUUUGUUUUGAUGAGUUAACACUUAGUCUGUGCUCAUAGUAAAGAGCAAGGAGACAGACCUGAAUGGCCUUGUCACUUUGUGACGGGCAUGCAUGCCUGUGAAUGAAUGGGACAGGUAAGAUGUGUAUAAUGAUAGGCUGAGUUAUGCCAGAGCCCUGGGGUCGAGCUCAGGCGACAAGCCAGGGCUCUCUAUUUAAUGGGCUUCAUUAGCUUAACUGGAACGGGACCUGGUGUUCAUUGUUCACCUCAUGCAAGUCUAGUGAGAUUUAAUUAGUUCUAUUUACACAAGGCUAUCCAGACUGACAUCUAAAUCUAGCCUGUAGCCACCUCUGUCUGCCAGACUUAUGGAAGAACAGGAGACAGAGCCGCACAUGAUGGCUCAUGCCUUUCACUCCAACAUUUUGGAGGCAGAGGCAGGUAGAUCUCUGAAUUCGAGGCUAGCCUGGUCUUGAUAGUAAAUUUCGGGGUCACCACAGCUGCAUAGUGAGAAAAACCCAAAACAGAGCAAACAACAGCAAAAAGACAACCAACCAUCCAACACCCCCUACCAGUUAACAAACAAAUAAGCAGAAAAUAAACAAAGACACACUAACCUCACGAUAGGAAGUCCCUUCCCCUUAAUCACCUUGGAGGUUGGAGGAGAAGGGGCCAUGCCAAUGGUCCUUGUUCCCUCAGUGGUUCGGGAUGAUGGAAUGUUUUCCAACAUCUCCUCUCAUGUCAUGCUCUUUCCAUUGUCCCCUACUGGGCCCAAUACAAGGUAGGGUUAAAGAGGAGACUGUCCUUGUCUAACACAUGAUUAUCCUACUUUGCGGUGUCAAAGAAAUGAAAACAUGUCCUUAUAAUGACUCUUUUCAGCUUCCUAUUUGUUCUAAGGAUUUCCUAUUUGUCAGGAUUAUUAUUAGAAUCAAGCUGUCCUGUUACGUGUACACUGUAAGUAGAAGUGUAGUAAACACAGUGCAGGUCAUGUUGUGACUUUAAGUUGCCUAGUAGCUAUAUGUAAAAACAUAAAGAGAUACAAAGUUUGUGUCGUUGAUUUAACUAUUUAUGUACACUUGUCUGUGUGUAUUUGCUCAUAUGUGUGGGUACUAGUGGAGGCCAGAAGUGUCUGAUAACCUUGGGUUUGAGUCAGAGGGGUUGUGAGCCAUCUGAUGUGGGUGCUGGGAACUGAACUUGGAUUCUCUGGAAGAGCGGCCAAGUGCUAACUUCUGAGUGGUCUUCAACCUCAUUGAUGUAUUCUUCUGAGUCAAUGUUGUGUUCUGUAGCCUGCCAUGAUCCUUAAGCUGCAGCUGUCUACCUCAGAUUCUCAAAGUGGUAGGAUUGCAGGCUACCAUACUGAGGUAAUAUGCAUUUGUACUUAUUUUGAGUCAGGUUCUUCUGUGGCUCAGGCUGGCCUCUCUUGUGGGUAGCAUUCGAUCUUCCCAAUUGCCUAUUUUUCUAUUGUGCUAUAUCCUUAUGACUCCCUUUCUAAGGAAUUCCCUUUUCAAAUGAUAAGAAUAUAAAGACUCUCUCUUUCCCUCCCUCCCUCCCUCCCUCCCUUCCUUCCUUCUUUGUAUCUAGAUUCCUAUUUGAAAGCAUUGACUGCUCUGAUAUAUUUUAGCAGGGAGGGAUUUGAUAAAGGGGAUUAGGUGCUUAAUAUAUCUUGAAGGGGCAGAAAGGGCAGGCUGUGGGCUGACUUUCUAGGAAUGAUACCAAGAGUAAAAUCGCAGAGCUGGCCAGUCAAGGGAACUGCAGUCUCUGCUGUGAGAGGCUACCUCAGCAGCCAAGCAGCUGUUGAGGGUCUGUAGUCUGUUUGCUGGCUCCUUGGUGUGCCUGGACUCUAUACCUUUGAAGUUGAGCACUGACUGACAGUACCACAGUGCUAGGAGCUCACCCGAACACAGGAUUUACCUUUAGCUUUCGGAUCUUUCCUAGUUGUCUGACUUGUAGCUGUCCUUCAGUUCACUGAAGGGACAGGAUAUGUUUUACAAACAAGUCUGCAGCCAGUGCCUACCUGGUUAGUGUUUUGGUGAAUCGCUGCUGCCUCCAGAGUUGUAAUUUUGCUGUUUGGUUUGGUUUGGUUUGGUUUUUCAUGUUUCUCUGUAGUAGACCAGGCUGGCCUCAAACUCACAGAAAUAUGAUGGUCUCUGCCACCAGAGUAAUGGGACUAAAGGUGUGCGUGCCAUCUUGCCUGGCUCUCAGGGCAUGAGUAUUAAUAGGCGGGUUUACUUGAUUGAAAGUUCUGUGAACUGAGAUGGCACUUUGAAAUGAAAUCUAUGUUUUCUUCUCUGCGGGAUUUUUUUUUUUCCUUUUCUUCUCUUUCCAGGUCAGAGUCUCUGGAAAGAUAAGAACAAAUUAUAAUAUUCCUGAAUCUAACUUGAUGACAUCACGGUUUGAAAGACCGGAGAGUUCAGUUCCACAAAUGCAGCCUGUCAGCGUUGUUCCUCUUGUUGAGUUAGUGUUUUCAUCUCUUAAUUGACGCUUUCGUGCUAUGGAAUGUCGAUACCCUCAGCUAAAGGAAGGGAAGGUUAAUUGUUUCUCCUGUUUUCCCUGGGUUACUAACUAGCCAGAUCUAGGGAUAAGCCAUUGCAAAGAACGAUGUGCUGUUCUGGAAGGGACAGGUAAAAGGUUGCAUUGCUUAGACCUAUUUUGGGAGAAGAAAAUAGACAUGGGACAAUGUUGCAGAGCCAUCCUGGGUCACAAGUUCACCAUCUGCACCAUAGCAAUUCUUGGAGGAACUGUCCUCUGCAGAACAUGUGGCAUAAGUCAAAUGCCGUCAUCUCACAGUGGCUUCAGGGACCAGUUCCAAGAUGCCCAACAGCUAGGACAGUCCAAAGAUACUCAAGUCUUUAUAAGUGGAAUAACAUUCCUGUGUAGCUCAUGUAUAUCCUCUUGCAUACCUGACUCAUAACCAGGUUACUUUUAAUACCUAACAGAAUGUAAGUGCUAUAUAUAGUUUUAAAGGAUGCAUUUCUAAGGAAUAUUGAAUAAAAGAAGCAUUCAGAUGCUUAGUCCAGAUCCUUCAAAUUUUCUUUUGGCUUGCAGUUGGUUGAAUCUGCAGACAUAGAACUGAUGUCUGCGACUGAAAACCCAGGCUCUGGAAUCAAAUUCAGCUAAGUCGUAUUCAUGCGGCUUUGUCUGAACUUGCAGAUCUCCAGCAUGUCUGCUGUUGAUGAGCUUAGGGAAGGGAGUGGGCCUUUUUAGUGUGGAUGAGCAGCAGUAUCUUCACCUAUUGGCUUGUUAGAAAUAUAAAUGAUAAGGCCAUGGCUCUAGCUUGUUGAUUCAGAGACCUGGGCAUAGUGCUUCAUACCAGCAGUCUGCCAGUUAAUAAGUCCUCUGACAUUAAUAAUUGAAAUAGGGCUCAGUGUGCUCCUUUAAGGGGAAUACUGGACACCCAGGUAUCCAAGUCUAUUCUGUAUCACUCCAAACCAAUGAACAAAUGAACAAAAUUCAACAUGUUUUAUGUCAUUCGGCAAAUCUCUUAGAUUCAGUUUUUCAUCUGUAAGCAGAAAAAUACACAGUUUUGGCUUUAUUGAGGUUUAAAUAAGAUAGAUGGGUUCUGUCAGUGUGAGAUGGGUUCAAUAAUUAAUUACCAUUGUUAUUAUGUAUUAUGUUUACAAAGGACAUUUUGGAAGUUAAUUCUCUGUCACCAUGGUUAGAAUUGUUAAAUCUUUGUUUUAAUCUAUGUAAAAAUUAACUUUACUUGAAUGUCCUUUAGUUAGUUUGUAUAUUUAUUUAGUUUUUAAUCUGGUGCUCUGGGUGCCUGAACUCACUGUAUAGACUAGGCCAGGCCCUGAACUUUCUGAGGUUUGCCUGCCUUUGCCUCUCAAGCUCUGGAAUUCAAGGCAUCUUGUACUAUCUGGCUUUCCACUUGUGCGUUCGUUCGUUCGUUCGUUCAUUCAUUCAUUCAUUCAUUCAUUCAUUCAUAGUGCCACGUGGUGCUCAGGCUGGCCUUGAAUUUGUGCAGUAAAGCAGCUCUGCCUCAGGGCCCAGAGCAGUUAGGCUACAGGGUAGUAAUUCUACUCUGACCCAGGAUGCAGCCAUGGAGGAAUUGGUAAAAGGAUGGACAGCAAUCCCACAUCAUCUUGAAGUCAUCUUGCACAGCAGCCUACAGAUACUUCCUUCUUAAGAAAAGUUUUGUUUCAAGUUCACAGUAAUGAUGGUUUCAUUAUGACUUUCUCACAUGUAUAUAAUGCAUUUUUAUCAUUUGUUUCCCCCAUUGACACCCCUCACGCCCUCUGAGACAUUUCAUUUUGUGUGUGCUUGUAUGCUUUUUGAAGGAAAAACUGUAUCUAGGGGUUGGGGGAAAAAAACCCCAUUUGAUUAAGAAGAGGCUUUGUAGCUUUUUGUUUCUUUGUGCUUUUAGGAAUGGAACCCAGGGCCUGAAGUAUGCAGACAAGUGUUUACUUUUACCAUUGAGCUACGUCCCCAGCUGGAGGCUUUUUAAAUGUUAAUUUCCCUUCAAAUAAUUUUUAAAAAUUAGCUCUUGAAAUUUUUGUUGUUCCUAAAACUAAACAAGUGGAAUAAGAAAUCUUGAAGUUAUUAUUAUUAAAUAACUUUUAAUUGACAGAUAUCUUUAUACUUCUUGGAGUAUAAUGCGGUGUUUUGAAAUGCUGAUGUUAAGUUUAUUCGCAUAUCUGCCACCUCAUACACUUUAAAAAAAGAUGUAUUUUUACUUUAUGCAUAUGAGUGUUUUGCCUGCAUGGAUAUCUACACAUACAUACACACACACACACACACACACACACACACACACACACACACACAUAUACAUACAUACAUGCUGCCUGUGUGUCAGUGGAUGCCAGAAGAGCGUGUUGUAUCCUCUGGAACUAAAGCUUGUUGGGAGCAUGCACCCAUGUGUAGACACACAUUUCUGCUCCAUUUUUCUCAAGCUGGAACUUUAUGUAGACAUUUGCUUUGUCUAAAAGAUAAUGGUCAUUAUCAAAGUGAGGAAACUUUUCAGAGGCCUGGAGUCACCCAAUUACAGCCGUCUGUUCUACCAUUAAAUAGAAACACUUGUAAGCAAUAGCUCAAAGUGAUUUUUAUUUGCAAAACUAUGAGUUUUUUUUUUUUUUUUUGGUUUGUGUUAUUUUGUUGGCAUAUCUACUGUUAAUAAUGGAUUUAUGUAUUCUAUAGCUGUAUGGAAAAAUGUACAUUGUGGUGAGAAAUAAUUUGAAUAGAAUUAGAUAUUUAGAAAGAUGAGUAUGAGCCACUGUGUGGGUGUUGGGAACUGUACCUGGUGUUGUGGCAGAGAUGCAAGUACUCAUUACUGCUAAGCCAUUUCCCCAGCCCCAGCCUUACAUACUUUUUGUAGUGUGAACAUUAAAAAUUACUUUUUUAGUAAUUUUAAAAAACAACUUCACCUCCUUUUUUUUUAUGUUCCACAUUUUUGUAAGAUCAUGCAACAUUUGCUUUUUCAUGUUCAGUUUAUUCUGCUUUGUAUACCUUGUAGGUCAUUCAUGUUUUUGCAAGUGAGGAAGCUUUCCCUUAAAGGCUAGUUGCCUCCUCCUCUCUUCCCCUCCCCUCUCUCCCUCUCCCUCCCCUCUCUCCCUCUCCCUCUCCUCUCUCCCUCUUCUCUCUCCCUCUCCUUCUCCUCCCUCCCUCUCCCUCUCCCUCUCCUCUCUCCCUCUCCCUCCCCUCUCUCCCUCUCCCUCUCCUCUCUCCCUCUCCCUCUCCUCUCUCCCUCUCCCUCCUCCCUCUCCCUCCUCCCUCUCCUCUCUCCCUCCUCCCUCUCCCCUCUCCCUCCUCCCUCUCCCUUUCCCUCUCUUCUUUAUUUGUUCUCCAUGUUAUGACAUGUGGCCAUUCUGUGUCUUGGCUGUUGUGAAUAAGGCUGCAGUGAGCAAUGAGUGAGUAAUGCAGGCAUCUCUGAGACAGUGGACAAGGUUUCCCUGUUCUCUGUAUCCUCGCCAACAUUGGCCAUCUUCUCGAGUUUUGAAAAGGCUACUUUAACAUGUGAGGUACCGUUUCUGAUAUGCAUUUCUCUGAUGUUGAGUGUACCUCACAAGCUUCUUAGCCAGGGAACGUCUUAGAAAUAGCUAGUGAGGUGAUGGGUACACCCUCUCUCCUUUAAUAAUCAUUUGCCUUUGCUAUUGAGUUUAGUUUCUGAUAUAUCUUGGACUUUAGUAUACUUUAAGGUUUUUGCACAUGUCUUCUUGCAGUCCACAACCUAUUGCUUCGCUGUCACUCCCUUUACUCUGCAGACUUCUUUUCUGUUUGAUGUAAUCCUCUUAAACUAUUUUCACUUCUGUCGCAAUUGCAAAUUAUCACUGGAAAGGGAAAAGCUUUUGUUGGCAGGUAGGAAACUCACCUGUGUUUGUUAAAACUUACUAAAAAUACUCAUUGCCCAAGCCAAAAAGAACUACAUGAAAGAAAUUCAUGUACAGAGGGAGGCUGUGUGUAUGUGUGAGUACCUGUGGGGUCUUUGUUUUGUUCCUUGCUCCUGUGACUCACUCUCUCUCUGAGGCAGUGGCAGGCCUUCUGUUUGCAGUGAGUAAGAAGCACUGAGCUGUUCUCAGCCUUUCUUAACUUUGUUGGAAAUACAGUCAGGCGGGCCUUGUGGAGUUAGUUCACACGUAUGCCCGUGACUCAUCUUCAGGCAGUGGCUUUUUUCAAGUUAAAACUAAAGGUCAGAGUCCUUAGUCCUUAACCCUGUGUUCUAAGUGGGGAGGGAGAAUCAAAAGGAGUUUAAAAUGGGGUGGGGGUGGGGGGAGAGAAAGGAAUUUGGGAGGGGGCUGGAUCUGGGCCAGUAGCUUUUUCCUUUUAAAGGGUUGUUUUUCAGAGAACAAUCAGUAUUGCUAUGAUUUCCCAGAAUUGCUAACUUGAAACUUUCUGUAUUUGACAAUGCUGCUCAUGGUAGUUGGGCUUUUGAAGUUUUAAUUUUGUUUAAACGUUUCAUCUCUUUAUCAUACCACCAAUAGCAAACUGAGGGUUCUUUAAUGUUUAGAGCGCUUUUCCCCAUUCGUGCCAUAAAUGUUCAUGCAUGUAAAUCUGUGUUGUUAUAGACAUGCAAAGAAUCUUACAUAAACAACAAAUACUUUGUAAGUAAUUAGCUUGAAAAAUGUAAACAACUGUGUGGGUGCAGGAGAAAUAAUUUCCACGUUUCCAAGUGUGACGUUGGUGUUGGGCCUUACUGAUUUUAGUUUUACUUUCAUUGACAUUAGAGACCAACACUAAAACACAAAAUCCUGUUAGUCUUCAGUUACAUUUUUUUACUACCAGGCUAGUAAGGUUGAUGGGAGAAAAUUGAGACUCUCUGACUUAAUUCUUUGGAAUUCUGUUGUCACUGUUUAAAUAAAUAAGGCAACUGCCGGCCGGCUGCUCACAGAGCUUUUGUCCCUGGUACAGAUAUAAUGUCCUGGCAUUUUUCAUAUUCUAUUAUCAAAGCCAAGGUCUAGAAUUUUAAGUGGGAAGUUGGCACUAGAAUAAUAAAAUGCCGGACAAAGCUCAUCUGAAAGUCCAAUAAAGUGAAAUUACAGCAUUGCAGAGCAAGAGAGUUCUGGAGCUAAAUCCCACAAAUUUGGGGAUCUUCUCUAUAAAGAUGUUAUUGUGUGGGGAGAGGGGAGGGGCGGGAGUUUGGGCUAGCUGGGGCAUUACUGUGAUCCCCAGAUGAGCGGCCAGGGUUUAUGUUUCUGUGAGGGAGGAAGAGUACUUGCUGGGAGAGGCCCAUUGCAUCAUGGGAAGAAGCUCAGUUGAACUCAUGAUCCUUGUUGAGGACUGAGCAGGGACCUCGGCAUUGCAUGUGCCUUUCCUAUAAGUAGGUGUUUUUGGUCAAAUCCAGAACUGAGCUAAAGUAGCUAGAGGAGGUAUUCCCAGAGCCGCAGAGGGAGAGUUGACUGGAGGUGAGCUCCUCGCUCCCCGCAUCUUUCUAAAGCUGCGGUUCUGAGUGCUGAGGGCUCCAGCACAUUCUCUCUGUGGAGUUUUAUUGUAGCUUGAUGUCAUCAGCUUGCAUACUUUCUUUAAUGCCAAGCAUAGUUCUAAAUAUGUCACAAAGACCCCCUGUGUCAUUGUCCCUGUGUAAUAGCUCUGAGCCUAGGGAAGCCUGGAGACAUCUUGAUCAGUGUCCUGAUUGGGUAAACACCCAGUAGUUCAGAAGUGGACGUGAUGACCAUUCAGAGUGGGCAGAACUAUGUUUUCUGAGCACUGAGCCACAUUUUCAAGGAACAGCUUUGUGGAUCUAAGUCAGUUUCUGCCUACUAGCAGGCAUGCUGAGUAUCUUCUCUGGUUCUCUGAGGCUCACUGUUCAUAAAAUGGAAGUAAUAUUUCUUUACAGAAUUUGUUAAUAGUACAGGGUUGUUGUUACUGAUCUUACUAGGAUUUGUGGAGUUUUUAGCUCUUGCUAGUAUGAUCCAUCUAUAAUUUCCUCAUUGAUUCUAGAGAUGGGCAGGAGAAGUUUUUCAGGACAUCUGACAAAAGCAAAUUAAGGCAGAAAAUACAGUGCAAUAAGACAUGGAAAGAAAUACAGUCACCAGUACUAGGAAGAAAAUAAGUCAUCAGGGUCAGAAAGGAAAUACAGUCAUCAAGACCAGGAAGGAAAUACAGUCAUCAACAACACCAGGAAGGAAAUACAGUCAUCAACAACACCAGGAAGGAAGUACAGUCAUCAAGACCAGGAAGGAAGUACAGUCAUCAAGACCAGGAAGGAAUACAGUCGUCAAGGCUAGGAAGGAAUACAGUCAUCAACAACACCAGGAAGGAAAUACAGUCAUCAACAACACCAGGAAGGAAGUACAGUCAUCAAGACCAGGAAGGAAGUACAGUCAUCAAGACCAGGAAGGAAUACAGUCGUCAAGGCUAGGAAGGAAUACAGUCAUCAACAACACCAGGAAGGAAAUAUAGCCAUCAAAACCAGGAAGGAAUGCAGUCUUUCAAGGCCAGGAUAGCACAGCAGCAAGGUUGGGUCACGUAGUACCUAUAGACUCAUGUACCUAUUCCUCCUUUAUUCAUCUGAGACCCCAGAGCAUGGGGUGAUGCCAUCCACAUCCAAGCUGGGAUUUCUCAGUUAGAGCUUUUUGGAAACUCCUUCAUUAAUACAUCCAAAGGUUUAUCGAUAUCCUAGGAGGCUCUAAUUCCCAUGGAGUUGACCAUGAGAGCAUGUACUGCAUCCAUGCUACAGUCCUUCAAGCUUGGGUAAAGAUAGAGUCAGGGAGAUCUCCAGGACUCUCAUUUACAGCUUCUCGUCUGCUGAAGUGUUCUGGGAACGCCUUGUAUAUAUUUUGUGCAGUAGCCAUCACAUUUGUGGUAAUUAAUUAUUCAACUUGAAUUUACUGGGUGUUUCUCCUAUUUAUAUCUGUCUUUAACACUUCAAAAAUUGUUUGUCUCAUUUUUGUACUUUCCCCAGUUCUAGGCACACACUGGGUGUGCAGUAUAUGUUGAAUACAUGACAGUAUUACUGUAUUACUGUAAACCAUGCUUAGUAUAUAAAAAUAUAACCACUUUUGAUAGUUUUUCUAUAGAGUCUUCCAAAAGAGUGCCUCCCCCCCCUCUCUCUCUCCCCCUCCCUCCCUCCCUCCCUCCCUCCCUCCCUCCCUCCCUCCCUCCCUCCCUCCCUCCCUCUAUCAUUCCAUACCUUCUGCUCUCUUGAAUUCAGAUCUGAUGCCUUUGUAUCCAGAUUAAUCCUGAUUUUCUUUGCUUUUCUUUCUUUCAUGUCAUCUUGUACAUGCCAGCUAUUAUUUUGCUAUUUCCCCAGGCUUAUAAUUCUAUAAUGCACAGCAGGAAGAAGAGAUAAUAAUGAAUUUCUCCAUAAGCCUUUCAGUAUGUUUUGUCUUUGCUGGUUUGGAGUGCUGCUCAAGACUGUAUGGAGUACAGAAUGUACAGUGAGCUCUUAGAAAUCAUACCUUUCAACUUUGCUCAUUUUAUAUCUGAUGAGGUAUGGGGGUGGGGGGAGGGUCACUUGGCUUUGCCUGAGGUGAAAUUCAAAUUUGGUUAGUAGACCCAGUCACUGUCCCUCACUUCUUUUCUGCUAUAAAACUUUUGUGUUUGGCAGGAACUCAGUUGUCUUGUUUAUCAAAAUUUUUUGUGCCUAUUAAAUAUUCAUGAAUGACUGCUCCAUACACGUGAUUUUAUGCUCCCCCAAGGAACAGCAAUAACAGAUAUUAACACUGAUAGCAUGAACUGUCUCUCUGUGUAACUCAAGUGGAUAUGUUAUCCAGAUUGAAGGAUUCAGUGUAAUGCCUUUGAGGACAUAGUGCAUUGGCCACACGCUCUGCUGUAGAACACUCUGUCACCAGGCCUGUCUGUCUGCCCCAUAGAAGAUGUUGAGCCUUGGUACAGAUACCAUCAUUCAAUAAACUCAGCAAUGUAUUUGUGGGCAGGGGAUUUGGGUAAGUUAAAGUGGGAUGCGGCACCUACUUCCAAAUAAUGAAAAGGCAUUUGAUUGUACUUGGGGGCGUUUUUCUUACUUUUUUUUUUCACAAGUAGAAACCAUUUCUUCAACCCCUUCAUAUAUAAAAUUUGGGAACAAGAAUGUUACUUGACUACACAGGCUUCAGCCUGUUAAGUGGAGCUUUGUUGGUUUUAUGUUGCAUAUUAGUAACAGAUUGUAAACAUGUCCCAUCUUUUAAAAUUAUGGUUUUUGUAUUGUAUGUGUAUGAGAAUUUUUCGCUUGUGCGUGUGUUUGUGCAUCAGGCCUUAGAUUCCCUGGAACUAGAGUUACAGACAGUUGUGAGCCUCCGUGUGGGUGCUGAGAGAGCAGCCUGCGCUUAAUGUCUGAUCCAUCUCCCCUUUUUUCUCAUUUCAUCUUUUAAAAGAAGUAAAAGCAUGUUUUCCAAAGGAGUAUCUUUUACUCUCUUGGUUUUUAAGGAACACAAGUAUUUCCCAAACCAGAAAUACUAAUAUCAGUAUUUAAAAAUAGAAUCAUAUUAUAAUGUCCAAGAACUGUAUUUUUUGCACAACGUUACUUAUAAUCAAUGCAUUAGGGAAACUGGCAGAAGAAGAGAGCUCUCCAGGGAUCAUAUCCCUGCCAGCUAGAAUGGAGGAGAGUGGGAUAACCCACUGUUCCCUUCAGCCCAUUGAGGGAGAGACAACAGGGAGACCUAACGUCUCCCAGUUAGGUAGCGGCGCCCUCAGCAGAGUGUACGGAUUCUUUGGAAAGGCAUUCUUUCACUCUGUUUGCAGUGGCUGCAAGCUUCAAGUCCAGAAACGUUUUCAGUCAUGGUUCCAGUCUUGUGGAGGUACAGCCUGCCAACGAAAAUGAGGCCGACAGAUAGAUUCCUCAGAGUGGGUAAAAAUGAAUGUAAAUUGGAUUUGCCAAGUGAUAUUCCAGGCCUGUCUUUUUCAGGCAGAGGUUGUAAAACUACCCUGUACUUAAAAUUUUCCUGGGAAUUUGUUUUAAAAGGCAGCUUGCUGAUCUCUAGUCCCGACUGAGUCAGACUCUGGGGCUCCAGAACACUGUGCUUCAUACAAGCAUGCGAUCCUAAGAUGCCUGGGUGCUGUUGCAUGGGAAGCAUGCGAUCCUAAGAUGCCUGGGUGCUGUUGCAUGGGAAGCAUGCGAUCCUGAGAUGCCUGGGUGCUGUUGCAUGGGUAAGACCCUGUUUUGAGGUGGCAGUGUUGAUUUACAUAUAUGGUGCCAGUGAGGUUUAGGCUUAGUGCGACUAGAAUGUUAUAGAUCACUGUUAGAUUGGAAAAGGUCCUUCCUCGGGACCGGUUAUGUGGUCACAUCUACAGCAGAUGAUUAGUUACAAAAACCACUUUGUUUCCCAAAUGUGUGUUUCUGGAGAUGGUAAAAGACAGAGCUUUCCUCACUUUUGCCCCCCCCCCCAUUUUUUUCUUUUCUCCUUUGUCUUUUUCUCUCUCCCCUCUUUGUCCCCAGUAAAACCUGUUACAUGUGGAACUGCUUUGAUCUGGUGUGCUAUGUUCAGACGUGAGCUGCUGUUCUAACACAUCAAUGACCUCUCCAGGGUCUGGUGUUUUCCUUGGCCCCCAACUCAAGUGAUUUUCCUCCCAAUCAUUUUCUAUGUGUUGCCUCCUGAUUCCCCUGAGGAAUGGGAGGAAGCCCAGAGCUGUACAGUAAGACCUUGGAGCUUUCUCUCCUCUCCCCUGUGUCGUUCCUACUGAUUCUUUUCUUUCCUUUGGUCCCUGCCCUUCUCUCUUUGAAACACAAAGCAGACGCUAUUACAAAUGCUGAGGCAUUGUUACUUCCAGGUUAAAAUACUCUUGCCCACGUUUCUCUGUCUAAACAGUGGCUAUUUUCCAUAGACGGUUCAUGGAGUCUCCUGUGUUUUCCUUAGCUGUUUUUCUCUGUGCUGGGACAGAUGUGGUACCCAGAUAGUCUUGCCUGUUCCUUUUAAUAAGAUAAAACCUGAGUUCGGUUAGGGAAAGGAGCUCAUUGUGAAGAUGUGCACUGGAACAUACAGAGUGAAAAACUUGGACCAGGGGGUGGGGGGUUGAGGGUGGUGAUGGUUCCAGGGACCAGUAAUUGCAGCAACUGUGGCAGCACUGCUGCUGCUGCUGUGGAAACGCCACACACUAAGCAACAUUUUUAAAGAACAUUAACACAUUACAUUUUUAUAAAAUCGCAGUCAGACACCUUGGGCAUCACCUUCAUUUUGUAGAUGAGAGGAAGCAGGACCACAAAAGAAUGACCUAGCUAGCUUAAAUCAGAGAAUCUGACUUUAAACUCAGAGCUUGUCGACCAUAUUCUCUAUGCUACUUAUUUGUUAUCUUUCCAAGUUGGCAAGUAAGAGUGCCUGACUCUACUGGAGGAUGGUAGGCUGGGAUAGGCGCAUGGCAUGGAGCUGGUUCAUCUGGGGGAAACACUGGAAUUGGAGGCAGGGGGUUGGGUAUGUUUUGGUAGCAUAAACAGGUCGAGGGGUUGGAAAGGCAAAGUGCCAGGAUAGUAAUACCCCUGGACUCUUAAUUGCAGGUGCAAGCGCAGGCCCUGGAAAGGUAGGGGAAAGUACACCUCAGAGAUAGGGUCAUGGGGGCAACUGGGAUCGCUGUCCAUGCCUGCGUGAUCUUCAAAUAUCACAUUGGUAGCUAGCUUUUUUGUUUUGUUUUUUCUUAAAGGCUUAUUUCAAAAAAUACAAAUUUGAGCAUACUGUAAAGAAAUGCCAUUUUAACAAUAAAAUGUUAGACAUGGUGCACUUAGUAUAUCCGAUAAAAGUAUAAUAUUUUCACAGCAGCUACCAGUGAGAAAGGGCAAAUGAGCUCUUUAGUUAGAAAGUUUCUGUGUUUAUUCGAACUUUUCCCUGGAUUUUCUUAUACAAUACAUAUUUAUGUUUCAAUUUUUUUUCAAAUAUCAUGCCCUAUUUGUACAAUAAGUCGUGUAAGAACUUAAACUUUAUGCUGGUAAAAUGGCUCAACAGGUAAGGGGACUUGCUAGCAAGGCUGAUGACCUGACCUCAGUUCCCUGGUCCUACGUGGUAGAGGGGCAGCUCGCUCAAGUUGUCCCCUGACUUCCAUAGCGCAUGCACACCUCUGCACUUAGGCGUACAUAUUAAGUCAGUGUAAUUAAGACAAAAGUAACAAUUGAAAGUGCUCUGUACCUUCCAGGAUUUCUCAGAGCAAAAGUACUGUUUGGUGGAUGGCUCCAUUUUAGUAGAAUAGAGUUAAUCAAAUAAUCCAGUUAUUUUCCAAAUUCUGAAAAAGGAUUAAUAAAAAUAAAAUUUUUGAGGUAUAUCUCUGAAUAUGUAUCUCUUACAUCUGUGUGGGUGCUUCUCUUACCAUUUUUAAUAUCUUAUUAGAUGAUAAAAGAUGUGACGUCAUUUCUCUGUUUGUCCUAUUUGUAGAUACAUGCACUGAAUAAAAAAAGUUGUACCAGACCAAAAAUGAAAAGGGAGGGAGUAUCCUCUCAGUUCUGUGGCUUCUCUCUGAGGUUCCCUGGAAAAACCCACACAGCAAUCUGUCAUUGGAAAUUACUUUUAACAAUCUAUUGGCUGACAGUGGGGAUGGGAUUGUCCUCCAGUUCUUAAAACAAUUGAGAUCACAGAUAUGUUUGCUUUUCUGCAUUUCAGUGUUAUUUCUUAUUUAUUUCUUGGUGCCCAAAUGGUUUUUUUUCCCAUUGGAUUCCUUCAGUGCUCAAUGGAGCUAUUUUGAGACAGGGAUAUGACAUAGCCCACACAUAUCAGACUCUCAACAGAGCCAAGUCUUGAACUUCAAUUUCAGGCAUGUGUGACUGCAGCAAAGUUUCAUGCUCGUGGGUAGCUGAUGCUAGGAGUGGGGAGCGGGUGUGUGGGUGGCCAGUGGGCACUCUCAGUUUGGAAAGUAAGGGAAAGGUUUAGAAAGAGAUCACAAUCUCAUUCAUAUAUAUAUAUAUAUACAUACACACAUACACACACACAUAUACAUACAUACACAAUGACACAGGAUUCAAUGUAAGAUUUUUAAAUAUGUGGAACAAUUUGUGUUCAAGAAUUCAAAGGUUAAUGAAUAAGAACAAAAUAUACUGGUGUGUGUGUGUGUGUGUGUGUGUGUGUGUGUGCAUAAA